UUGUAGGACUGAUGUUGAGUUACAAAGGUAUAAGAUAGCAGAAACAGUUGGGAAGCUGUUCCAAAGAGGGUGACAGGCCCGUAUGCGAAAUCUUGUACUCUCUAAUCAGGAUCCUGAGUACGGCCCAGCACGUGAAAUUGGGUCGGAAUCUGGGAGGACCAUCUCCCAAGGCUAAAUACUAACUAGUGACCGAUAGCGAACAAGUACCGUGAGGGAAAGGUGAAAAGAACCCCGGAAGGGGAGUGAAAUAGUUCUUGAAACCGUGUGCUUACAAGAAGUUCGAGGCCGUUAAUGGCUGAGAGCGUGCUUUUUGUAGAAUGAACCGGAGAGUUACGAUUGCGUGCAAGGUUAAGGUGCAAAGACUGGAGCCGUAGCGAAAGCGAGUCUUAAUAGGGCGAAUCAGUACGUAGUUGUAGACCCGAAACCGAGUGACCUAUCCAUGGUCAGGUUGAAGGUGGGGUAAUACCUACUGGAGGACCGAACAAGUGGGUGUUAAAAAACCCUUUGAUGAACUGUGGAUAGCGGUGAAAUUCCAAUCGAACUCGGAGAUAGCUGGUUCUAUCCGAAAUACAUUUAGGUGUAGCCUUGCAAUUAGCUUACUGGAGGUAGAGCACUAUUUGGUCUAGGGGCCCUUCAAGGGUUACCAAAAUCAGAUAAACUCCGAAUGCCAGCUAAGUAUGUGCAGGAGUCAGACGGUGAGUGAUAAGAUCCAUCGUCAAAAGGGGAACAGCCCAGAUCACCAGUUAAGGUCCCUAAAUAUAUGCUAAGUGGAAAACGUUGUGAAGGUGCAUAG
rnacentral:rRNA from 1 species